AAUAGAUACCCGGGUAGUCCACCCGUAAACGUUGGGAACUAGUUGUGGGGUCCUUUCCACGGAUUCCGUGACGCAGCUAACGCAUUAAGUUCCCCGCCUGGGGAGUACGGCCGCAAGGCUAAAACUCAAAGGAAUUGACGGGGACCCGCACAAGCGGCGGAGCAUGCGGAUUAAUUCGAUGCAACGCGAAGAACCUUACCAAGGCUUGACAUACACCGGAAACGGCCAGAGAUGGUCGCCCCGCAAGGUCGGUGUACAGGUGGUGCAUGGUUGUCGUCAGCUCGUGUCGUGAGAUGUUGGGUUAAGUCCCGCAACGAGCGCAACCCUCGUUCUAUGUUGCCAGCACGUAAUGGUGGGAACUCAUGGGAUACUGCCGGGGUCAACUCGGAGGAAGGUGGGGAUGACGUCAAAGUCAUCAUGCCCCUUAUGUCUUGGGCUUCACGCAUGCUACAAUGGCCGGUACAAAGGGCUGCAAUACCGUGAGGUGGAGCGAAUCCCGAAAAAGCCGGUCCCAGUUCGGAUUGAGGUCUGCAACUCGACCUCA
rnacentral:rRNA from 1 species